AUCGUGAGGUAUAGGCGAGAAGAAGGGAUAGCGAAAUCGUAGCUUGACGGACAGAAAUCUGAUACAAGGCGUACAUGGCGGAUGAGCUGGCUUAGGGCAGCAAAGUCCAAAAGGCAACCGUAACCCAUGUAUGUAGAUCAGGCAAGUAGACGAGGAAAGAC
rnacentral:ncRNA from 1 species